rnacentral:lncRNA from 1 species
AAGGUAUCCCACUUUCAAAUCAUGUGAUUCCAGUUUCCUAGUUUGGGAAUAGCACGGCUUCUUCCGUUCCAAUCAAACCAGGAAGAAUCACUUUCUGAGAAGCUUGAUUUGGAUACAUAAAGUGGUGGAGAAUCACCAGGAACUUGAAUAAACCUCAUAGGAGUUGGAAUGAAGAAGUUUUCCCACUUUCAAAUAAGGUGAUUCCAUUUUCCCAGUUUGGGAAUAGGACAGCUUCUUCGUCGUUCCAUGCAAACCAGGAUGAAUCACUUUGUGAGAAGCUUGAAUUGGACAGAUAAAGUGGUCGAGAAUCACCAGGAAGUUGAAUAAAUCUCAUAGGAGUUGGGAUGAAGAAGUUAUCCCACUUUCAAAUCUGGUGAUUCCAGUUUCCAGGUUGUGGAAUAUCACAGCUUCUUCGUUGUUCCAAUCAAACCAGGAUGAAAUACUUUGUGAGAAGCUUGAUUUGGAUACAUAAAGUGGUGGAGAAUCAUCAGGAAGUUUAAUAAGUCUCAUAAGAGUUGGGAUGAAGAAGUUAUUCUACUUUCAAAUCAGGUGAUUCCAGUUUUUCAGUUUGGGAAUAGCACAGCUUUUUCGUCGUUCCAAUCAAACCAGAAUUAAUCACUUUGUCAGAAGCUUUAUUUGGAUACAUAAAGUGAUGGAGAAUCACCAGGAAGUUGAAUAUCUCAUAGGAGUUGGCAAGAAAAAGUUAUUUCACUUUCAAAUCAUGUGAUUCGAGUUUCCCAGUUUGGGAAUAGCACAGCUUCUUCGUCGUUC